GAGAAAAGAGGAGAUGGCAAGCAUGAGAAGAGGUGUGGAUGGAGGAAGUCAAAGCAGCAAGGAAGCUAGUCCCAUCUCUUUAUGAAGAGACAUCCUGAAGAAACUCAUCCUGUAGUCAGCAUUCCUCCAGUGGUGAUUACUGACAUCUGAGGAGACUGACCUGUGGCAUACUGUCACUGCAGCAGAGUAUCUUGCUGGGAGAAAAUUUUGGGUUGUCUCCUGGAUUGAUCAGACUGUGGCUUCUCUGUCCUAUAUAGACAAGGAUAAAGAACCUCCCCGAGGUGCUCUAGGAGAGACAGCGAGAUCUGGUGGUGGGAUAUGGAGGUCUGAAGUCUCCCACCUGCUCUGCCAAGCAUGUACUCUCCAGCUUUGGGUGCACUGUGAGUUGAUUAACUCUGUUGUAGGAGACACGAACUGCAGCAUACCUACCAGCCACUGUUUGAGAAAAAGGAAGAGUAGAUCUGUGCCAUACAACAAUAUUUAUAAAUUAACUUAAUCACCAGAUGAACAGUUUAAUCUGUAAAUGCAAGUCAUCACUAGAUGUCCUGUAUAGCAGCAGCUGUACCAAAUACUGUGGGGCUUAUUUGAUGAGGACUGCACGUUGCCUGAGCAGGCUCAGAAUCCCAGAGUCAUGCUCAAACUCUGGAAUUAAAGGAACUGAAUUCAGGAAUUAAAGGAACUGAUUCACUCUGACAGGGCUGGGAAUCUGUCUUGUGGAACUUAAGAGCAGCUAGACCUGCCAGUAAAACAGCAGUACUGAAGGACGAGAUGAAUGCAUUUGUUCUAAAGACCUCCCAGCCAGAUGCUACCCCUGCUAUAUUUCAUACGGCUUUCUGCAGGCAGAGAGUUACCACCGAAACCUGAGCCAACUAAUAACAAAAGCAGUGUGGACUUUUCUGCUGGAGCUGGACUCUGCAGUACCAACUUGACAGCAUCUGGACCCAAACUCUGCUCAGGCAGCAUGUCUCCCAGCUUGGCCAGCACCACCCAUCAGGUAAGAGGGAGCAGAGAGCUUGCCAUGGUGGAGGAGCAGAGAAGGCCGUGCAGAUUGCUACCAGGGCCAAUGGCACAAAGUAAGAUGUUCGCUCAGCUUUUGUCUGGUAUUACUUAUUUUGUCCUGGUAUUUCUUCAUAGUAUCAGCCAUUGCUUUCCACACUGA
rnacentral:lncRNA from 1 species